CCCUUAGAUGUCCUGGGCCGCACGCGCGUUACACUGAUGCAUUCAACGAGCUUAUAACCUUGGCCGAGAGGCCUGGGCAAUCUUGUUAACGUGCAUCGUGAUAGGGAUAGAUUAUUGAAAUUAUUAAUCUUGAACGAGGAAUUCCUAGUAAACGCAGAUCAUCAAUCUGCAUUGACUACGUCCCUGCCCUUUGUACACACCGCCCGUCGCACCUACCGAUUGGAUGGUCCGGUGAAGCCUCGGGAUUGUGGUUCUUGCCGCUUUAUUGUGGCGUGACCGCGAGAACUUGUCUAAACCUUAUCAUCUAGAGGAAGGUGAAGUCGUAACA
rnacentral:rRNA from 1 species